AUUGAACGCUGGCGGCAGGCCUAACACAUGCAAGUCGAACGAGUGGCGGACGGGUGAGUAAUGUCUGGGAAACUGCCUGAUGGAGGGGGAUAACUACUGGAAACGGUAGCUAAUACCGCAUACCAUCAGAUGUGCCCCGAUGGGAUUAGCUAGUUGGUGGGGUAACGGAUCACAAAGGCGCCGAUCCCUAGCUGGUCUGAGAGGAUGACCAGCCACACUGGAACUGAGACACGGGCCAGACUCCUACGGGAGGCAGCAGGGGGGAAUAUUGAACAAUGGGCGCAAGCCUGAUGCAGCAAUGCCGAGUGUAUGAAGAAGGCUUUCGGGUUGUAAAGGACUUUCAGCGGGGAGGCGUUACCCGCAGAAUAAGCACUGGCUAACUCCGUGCCAGCAGCCGCGGUAAUAC
rnacentral:rRNA from 1 species